rnacentral:lncRNA from 1 species
AGGUGGCCAAGGAGGCAGAGAUGGAGUCAGGGACUCUGUGAGAUUUCUCAGCAUGGCCAGGUGGCAUUUGAAGAGCCUAAUGAGAAAGAUGACUUGGCUCCAAGUGGCAAUGUCAAAAGAUACAUUGCAGCUGCCCUGUCUCAGUGGGCCUGGAAUGAAACCAACAUUCUCAAUUAGUGCCCAGUGCGAGCGCAUCACUACUCCUUCUCAGCAUCCGUCUUCUUCCAGCAGUAUUCAUGCCCUCUCUUCAUCUGUUCAAGUGGGUGCUUUGGCAAGAAGGAAGCUGUGCUUUAUCUCCCAAAUGCAUCUUGCUGUCUUUGGCACAUUUGUUGUUUGUUGGUGGUGGUGCCAGGACUCAGCUGUUUCAUGACAGACUUUGAGAGAGUGAAUCAAUUGUUAUUGUUUUUCUUUUUGAAAUACCCAUCAGACUUUGUG